UGGGGAAUAUUGGACAAUGGGCGCAAGCCUGAUCCAGCCAUGCCGCGUGGGUGAAGAAGGCCUUCGGGUUGUAAAGCCCUUUUGUUGGGAAAGAAAUCCUGUCGGCUAAUACCCGGCGGGGAUGACGGUACCCAAAGAAUAAGCACCGGCUAACUUCGUGCCAGCAGCCGCGGUAAUACGAAGGGUGCAAGCGUUACUCGGAAUUACUGGGCGUAAAGCGUGCGUAGGCGGUUCGUUAAGUCUGUCGUGAAAGCCCUGGGCUCAACCUGGGAAUUGCGAUGGAUACUGGCGAGCUAGAGUACGGUAAAGGAUGGUGGAAUUCCCGGUGUAGCGGUGAAAUGCGUAGAGAUCGGGAGGAACACCCGUGGCGAAGGCGGCCAUCUGGACCAGUACUGACGCUGAGGCACGAAAGCGUGGGGAGCAAACA
rnacentral:rRNA from 1 species